ensembl:lncRNA
CUUCGCCCGAGUCAGCUGGGAUAGGCUCCAGCCCCCCCCGCAACCCUAGUGAGGAUUAAGCGGUGUAUAGAUAAUGGAUGGAUGGAGUUGUAGUAUGACCAGCAGGAGUCAGUUGCUGACUGCAGUAAAUUUGUUGAAUAUUUGUGUCUCUUGGCUGUUUGCAGCGGUUUUGCAUUUUGCAGAUGGUCCCUGUUCACUCUUCGCACAGCCGACUGCUCAUAGACAUCAAUGUUAUUUCUGCAGCUCGAAAGACAGAUACUUUUGAUUAAACUGGGCUUGUAGCACCUUACAACGAUGGAAAAGAGGCAUCGUUUAGUUUAGACAACGUAUAUUUAAUGAGCUAUUGAUGCCGGAAGUCCGAAUUUGUGAAUAUCUUUCCGACUUUACCGAACUGUGUUUUGUUUCCUGACGUCGCCGUAAUUUGCUGGCUUCAUGCUGUCAUUUGCAAGCAUUUCACCACAAAUAACGUAAUUCUGUUUUGUCCUUUAAUAAAACCAAAUUUAAGGUAACUCUGGAGGUAUAGCCGGAGUUUUUAGGUACUGAUGAAGCUUCACCCGCUUUGCGUUUUUUGGACACCGUUCCCGUCAGUAAUUUUCUAAAUGCACACAAACUAAUGAAUCGGGGUGAACUAGUGAGCCAACCUGAAGAAAGCAUGGAGAGAAGUUGAAGAAAGACCAAAUAAAUGUGUUUUAAAAAUGUUCUAUAGGUAGACUUGUGAUGACACAGUGAGUCUAUUACUCUGAUUUUAUCCAGAAUGUAAAAAUCUAUUUUUUAUAACAUCACAGCCUCAGAGCAGACAAAGCUUUGCGUCUCCCCUCAGAUCUCUGGUGCCCCCCCCAGGUUGGGAACCACCGCACUAGACAUCUAUUAGACGCCCACUGGAUGUCCACCAGUGUGUUGCUAAAAUUCUGCUGAGGCUUGUGUUUUAGCCUGUCAGGCCAUCAUGGGCCACCAACACACACACGCACGCACGCACACACACACACACACACACACACACACACACACACACACACACACACACACACACACACACACACACACACACACACACACACACACACACACACACACACACACACACACACACACACACACACGUGCCACAAAUGAACUCACAGGCCCAGGUUUCACUCUCAGAUCUCUCCUCUGUUUCUGUUUGUUCUAUUUGAUGCAUUUUAUACACUCUUUUUAUGGGUUGUAACUUUACAAGUUCACACAGGAUUAUUCAUUCUUGUACAUGAGUCUGACUUAAUCAUCAUUUUGGAGUUGUUGCUAUUUCUUCAGUUUUAAAAUCCCACAACUGUAUAGAUAAUGGAUGGAUGGACAUUAAAGUCACCUUGAUCUAAUAUCUGUUUGGUGUCAAUAGCACAUGUUCUGUCACAUAUCCCUGUUCCAACUGCAAUGAGGAGGGGAAGACAGUACAAACUGGACAUUAAGACCAACAGAGACACUAAAAUGACUUUGGAUUUUUUCCUGCAAAAAAAAAUUAAAUGGGAAUGCUUUGAGGAAUAAUGACUCUUUCACUUUCUUUUCUUUAGUUACUAUUGGUAAAGCAUUAAUAUCCUGUUUCACUUCUCCUGUUAUAAUAGCAAUUACAUUCUCACAGUUAAGUUUUAAUGAAAUAAUAGCAAUAAUUAUUUAGAUCAUAUAUGUGCUCCAUCAUAGAGCUAUUAUCUCCAUCCAUCCAUUAUCUAUACACCGCUUAAUCCUCACUAGGGUCGCGGGGGGGGGGGGGGGGGGGGGGGGGCUGGAGCCUAUCCCAGCUGACUCGGGCGAAGGCAGGUCGCCAGUCUGUCGCAGGGCUACA